ensembl:ncRNA F18A11.11 ncRNA
AUGAGUCAGUGGAAGAUGGGAAUAAGAAGAGAAGGACACGACGAAGUUCUUGCGAAAUCAAUCUUCGUGGCGGUUCGCACCUCGAGCCUCGUCGGGUGUCUCCUUUUUUAUAAAUGGCAGGA